UACGGAGGGUGCAAGCGUUGUCCGGAAUCACUGGGCGUAAAGGGCGCGUAGGCGGCUCAUUAAGUGGCUGGUGAAAUCCCGGGGCUCAACUCCGGGGCUGCCGGUCAGACUGGUGGGCUCGAGCACGGUAGAGGCGGAUGGAAUUCCCGGUGUAGCGGUGGAAUGCGUAGAGAUCGGGAAGAAUACCGGUGGCGAAGGCGUUCCGCUGGGCCGUUGCUGACGCUGAGGCGCGACAGCGUGGGGAGCAAAC
rnacentral:rRNA from 1 species